rnacentral:rRNA from 1 species
AGUGAACGCUGGCGGUAGGCCUAACACAUGCAAGUCGAACGGCAGCACAGUAAGAGCUUGCUCUUACGGGUGGCGAGUGGCGGACGGGUGAGGAAUACAUCGGAAUCUACUUUUUCGUGGGGGAUAACGUAGGGAAACUUACGCUAAUACCGCAUACGACCUACGGGUGAAAGCAGGGGAUCUUCGGACCUUGCGCGAUUGAAUGAGCCGAUGUCGGAUUAGCUAGUUGGCGGGGUAAAGGCCCACCAAGGCGACGAUCCGUAGCUGGUCUGAGAGGAUGAUCGGCCACACUGGAACUGAGACACGGUCCAGACUCCUACGGGAGGCAGCAGUGGGGAAUAUUGGGCAAUGGGCGCAAGCCUGAUCCAGCCAUACCGCGUGGGUGAAGGAGGCCUUCGGGUUGUAAAGCCCUUUUGUUGGGAAAGAAAAGCAGCAGGUUAAUACCCCGCUGUUCUGACGGUACCCAAAGAAUAAGCACCGGCUAACUUCGUG